UUCAACAAGGCAGCACAAGUUUCAACAUG
rnacentral:sRNA from 1 species